AGCAUUUUCCAUUAAAAGAAUGCUUUCAUGUGAUAAUGCCGGGGAAGGUUUUCCGGUUUAUCCCGGAGGGCUUGUAGCUCAGUUGGUUAGAGCGCGCGCUUGAUAAGCGUGAGGUCGGAGGUUCAAGUCCUCCCAGGCCCACCAAUUAUCCAUCCAUAGAAAAGCGCUUAGAAAGUUUGACUGUUAACAGGUCAACGUUGUUUUGUAGGACGUCAAUAUUGUCUUGAAAAAGAGCUUUCUUGUAAAGUUUGAGAAAACUUGUUUAUCGCUUUUUGUAAGAUGUGGUGUUUGUCUGUUUUUAAAGCGAUCGAAACUGAAAGUGUUUCAAAGAUAAGAGUUUUGGAACAGAAGAGUCUUGGAACAGAAAAGAAUAUAAAGUCUAGGUGGUAUUACAUAGUCUAAAGUUAAAUUGUUCAUGAUUGGAGCAUUUCAUAUUGGAAUGCUGCGAUAUAAAGGUUUCGAAUAAAUUAUUCCGUUUUGGGGCCGUAGCUCAGCUGGGAGAGCACCUGCUUUGCAAGCAGGGGGUCGUCGGUUCGAUCCCGUCCGGCUCCACCAUUUUGUCAUCAUCAUUGUUGUGAGAACAGGUUUUAGUGAAAGGUUGAGUAACCUUUCGCUUGUUCUAUUGAAAUUGUGAAGAGAAGAUAUAUUCAGACAUGUUCUUUUUGAACUGUUUGUUUUGAAGGCAAGAGCUUUUUUCAUGGGAAAUAAUUAUGAGGAAUGCUUGUUA
rnacentral:tRNA from 1 species